rnacentral:rRNA from 1 species
UACGUAGGGGGCUAGCGUUAUCCGGAAUUACUGGGCGUAAAGGGUGCGUAGGUGGUUUCUUAAGUCAGAGGUGAAAGGCUACGGCUCAACCGUAGUAAGCUCUUGAAACUGUAAGACUUGAGUGCAGGAGAGGAGAGUGGAAUUCCUAGUGUAGCGGUGAAAUGCGUAGAUAUUAGGAGGAACACCAGUUGCGAAGGCGGCUCUCUGGACUGUAACUGACGCUGAGGCACGAAAGCGUGGGGAGCAAACAGGAUUAGAUACCCUGGUAGUCCCU